UACGGGGGGGGCAAGCGUUGUUCGGAAUUACUGGGCGUAAAGGGCGCGUAGGCGGCCUGCUAAGUCGGACGUGAAAUCCCUCGGCUCAACCGGGGAACUGCGUCCGAUACUGGCGAGCUUGAAUCCGGGAGAGGGAUGUGGAAUUCCAGGUGUAGCGGUGAAAUGAGUAGAUAUCUGGAGGAACACCAGUGGCGAAGGCGGCAUCCUGGACCGGUAUUGACGCUGAGGCGCGAAAGCUAGGGUAGCAAACGGG
rnacentral:rRNA from 1 species